rnacentral:tRNA from 5 species
GGGACGUAGCUCAGUUGGGAGAGCGCGGGCUUUGCAAGCCUGAGGUCGUGGGUUCGAUCCCCAUCGUCUCC